GGCACCGUCGCCAAGUUGGUAAGGCAAGGGACUGCAAAUCCCUCAUUCCCCGGUUCGAAUCCGGGCGGUGCCUCCA
rnacentral:tRNA from 4 species